AAUGCAGGCGUCCUGACUGCGCUCGCGGUGGCGUCAGGGAGCAGGUUGAGCCUCAGUGGGAGUGUGGAGGCUUCAAGGAAAGAACAUGCUGGGUAAGAGCAAAAAGCCAAGUCUGGCUGAAGAGAACAGAGACACAAGAAGGAAAGGAAAGGACUGGGUCACGUGAGCCCUCUACACUAGGCUUCGUAACUCCAACUUUCUCAGGCAGGUAACUGAGCAGAGUGAGUGUGCAGGUGGUUUGUGCAUGUGCUGUUUAAGUGGGUUCACUCAGCACCCACCCAACUCACUUUCCCCUGCCUCCUACACUGUAAGGGUGAUAAAUAAAUGACAAGCAGUAGGCUAUAUUGGAGGAUAUGAGGAAGCCAUUUGGUUUGAAACUAAUUUGACCUGGCCUUGUUUUUCCAGAAAGGUCUGUUGAGCGUGCAUUGUACAUCUGCUUUAAACGCUUACAAUGUCCCAAAGAUAAGAACAAUGCCCUUAAAGAUAAGGAGGUAGCUUCCCCCUACAUCGGCAUUUCCUUUAAUAUGCAUCUCUCCCUAAACUAAGGAUUAAUUAUGGACCUCCUGUGCUCACCGUGUGACUACCCACCUUGUGACCACUGACCUACUGACCUCUGACCUGCUGGGCCAGCAAAGCAUCUCGCGAUAAUUGUAAAAGGGAUAUUCCUGCCAUAUAUGAUGGAUGCUCUUUGUUCCAAGACUGUGUAUAACCACUCGGUACACCCCACUUCUUUGGUGCCCUUCCUUCCUUGAGGGAGGAAGGCCCCAGGCUAGUCCUCAGACCUGACUCAUAAUAAAUUCACCCCAAUUUUGAUUUGUAGAUUGAUGUGGAUUAUUUGUGUCAAGGGGCUGAAAACAAAACUCUCAAAUUGCCAGCUUCCUUUGCUGCUAGGGUUGGCCAAUGAAAUGUGGGCUGGAGUUUCUGAGGAGGCCUUUCUUCUUGGAUAGAAAGGCCUUUGGCUUUUGCUCCUUCCUUUUUUUUGGGGGGGGGGGGCGGUCCUGGAACGUGGAUAUGAUGCCUUGGGACCUAGCAGCCAUUUUGUGACUUGGUCUGAGGUCAGAGGCACACACUAAGGACAAUAGAGAAGAAAAGGAACCUAGUUCCUUGAAGACAGGCUUAAGACAAAAUCCCUAAAGUAACUCCUCUGGACUUCUUAUGUGAGAAAAAUAAACUUUAGUCACUUUUCAGGUUUUUCGUUCUUGGAGUUAAGUGUAUCCGUAACAGUCACAGUGGUUAAGAACAGACUGUGGAGUCAGAAAGAUGCAGAAGCUGAUCAUUUAGGACUAAAAGAGGCCCAGAUUUUAUAUAAGAAAGGCAGAAAAAGGAAAGGCUGGCAGAAGGUUUCCGGAAUUGCUCACUAGGCUGCAAUAUUUACGUCGACCUCUAAAACUUCAUCAAUGCCACCCUCUUUACCUCCUUACUCUCCUUUAUUCAACAUAGUGAUAUGACCACAGCAACAGCACCAAAAAAGAUAAAGACUAAGGCUCCAGAUUUUCACUCCUAAGACAGGCUGCUUCUCUCUUGGCAUCGAGGGCUACAGCCUCAGCAUCGAACAGAGUCUGUUUCAUCUGUUUGAGGUCUUGAAUGUUUUCCUAUACACACAACAAAAAGGAUUUCCUGAAAGCUAACUUUCUUAGAGUUGGAAAAGACUUUAGAGAACACACACACAGAUGUCAUUCCUAACAAAUCAAAAAUGGUGAAAAUACGUUAAUCACCAAAUUUUUUUUAGGAUAGAUGAAAAGAAAUGACAUUUUCGAAAAUAAAAAUAUUUUUAAAAAUUCUGGUUAUCUUUUUCCAAAUUAUAAAAGCACUAUAUAGAAGUACUGUAAUUUAAGAAAUCUGUUAUUGUUUAAAAAAGAUUAACACAAUUGUUGUUCAGCUAGCCUGUUAAAGUUUCCUAUGUAUUUUUAAAUUAUUCUCUCCAAAACAUGACAGGUGAGCAAUUAAUAGUUAAAAUUAAGAAUAUUAAAUCACAAACUGAAAAAAAAAAGACAAACAAUCCAAAAGAAAAAGAGAGAAAA